CCUACGUGAGGCAGCAGUGGGGAAUAUUGGUCAAUGGGCGCGAGCCUGACCCAGCAACGCCGCGUGAAGGAAGAAGUCUUUCGGGUUGUAAACUUCUUUUACUCGGGAAGCGCAGAAGACGUUACCUCUUGAAUAAGCCACGGCUAACUACGUGCCAGCAGCCCCGGUAAUACGUCGGUGGCAAGCGUUGUCCUGAUUUACUGGUUGUAAAGGGCGUGUAGCCGGGCUGACAAGUCAGAUGGUAAAUCUGGGGGCUCAACCCCCGAACUGCAUUUGAAACUGUUUGUCUUGAGUAGAGGAGAGGAAGGCGGAAUGCGUGGUGUAGCGGUGAAAUGCGUAGAGAGUAGGAGGAACACCAGUGGCGAAGGCGGCAUGCUGGACGACAACUGACGGUGAGGCGCGAAAGCGUGGGGAGCAAACAGGAUUAGAUACCCUUGUAGUC
rnacentral:rRNA from 1 species